rnacentral:rRNA from 1 species
GACGAACGCUGGCGGCGUGCUUAACACAUGCAAGUCGAACGGUAAGGCCCUCCGGGGUACACGAGUGGCGAACGGGUGAGUAACACGUGGGUGAUCUGCCCUGCACUUCGGGAUAAGCCUGGGAAACUGGGUCUAAUACCGGAUAGGACCCUGGGAUGCAUGUCCUGGGGUGGAAAGCUUUUGCGGGGUGGGAUGGGCUCGCGGCCUAUCAGCUUGUUGGUGGGGUGAUGGCCUACCAAGGCGACGACGGGUAGCCGGCCUGAGAGGGUGACCGGCCACACUGGGACUGAGAUACGGCCCAGACUCCUACGGGAGGCAGCAGUGGGGAAUAUUGCACAAUGGGCGCAAGCCUGAUGCAGCGACGCCGCGUGAGGGAUGACGGCCUUCGGGUUGUAAACCUCUUUCAGCACCGACGAAGCGCAAGUGACGGUAGGUGCAGAAGAAGGACCGGCCAACUACGUGCCAGCCGCCGCCGUAA